AAGGAUUUAAGUUAAACAAACUAACAACCUUCAAAGUUGUAAAUAAAGGGAAGCUUUAAGCCUUA
rnacentral:tRNA from 1 species